rnacentral:rRNA from 1 species
CUAACUGAAUCAUAGAAUUUAUUAAAAUUCAUGAUGUCGUAAGGGAAAAUAAUGAUAUUACCUUACUAUUAGUGUCGUCCAAAUCUGGUGCCAGAAGACUCGGUAAGACCAGAGACGCAAACGUUAAUCAUCAUAAACAGGCGUAAAGGGUUUGUAGGCAGCUCCCACCAUACUAUGAUUCCAAAAUAAAGUAGUGUAAUUGAGAGCUAGAAUCAAACAGAGGUUAUAGUGUAUAACGCCUAGAGGAGGGCUGAUAUCCAUAGAUCCUAGGCAGAAUACUAAGGGCGAAGGCCACUCUCCACUAAUGAUUGACGCUGAGAAACGAAGGUUAGGGUAGGAAAUAGGAUUAGAUACCCCGGUACUCCUUUCUGUAAACGAUGAAUGGUAGUCAUUAGUUUUAUAACUAGAGACGAAGUUAACACAAUAACCAUUCCGCCUUGUGAGUACUACUGCAAAGUAGAAAACAAAAAAAUUAGUCGGUCUCGAAGCAAACGGAGUGAAGCAUGUUAUUUAAU